GGAAGUAAAAGUCGUAACAAGGUUUCCGUAGGUGAACCUGCGGAAGGAUCAAUAGAGAUUACCCCGGUUAGCACUCGGUUAGACGUCGCCGUCUAUUCUUCUACACUGUUACAUGUGAAACGGACAAACCUUUGGGCGGGGGCUCCGGGUGGACAUUUCACUCUAGUGAUAAAUGUGAAGUCUUAUUAAAAGAAAUUAAUAAAACAACUUUCAACAACGGAUCUCUUGGUUCUGGCAUCGAUGAAGAACGCAGCGAAAUGCGAUAAGUAAUGUGAAUUGCAGAAUUCAGUGAAUCAUCGAAUCUUUGAACGCACAUUGCGCCCCGUGGUAUUCCGCGGGGCAUGCCUGUUCGAGCGUCAUUUCACCACUCAAGCCUGGCUUGGUAUUGGGCGUCGCGGCCGGCCGCGCGCCUCAAAUUUCCGGCUGAGCUGUCCGUCUCCCAGCGUUGUGAAAUCGAACCGCUACGGAGCACGCACAGCCGCGGCCGUUAAAUAAACUUUCAUACAAGGUUGACCUCGGAUCAGGUAGGGAUACCCGCUGAACUUAAGCAUAUCAAUAAGCGGAGGA
rnacentral:rRNA from 1 species